AUGAACGCUGGCGGCGUGCCUAAUACAUGCAAGUCGAGCGAACAGACGAGGAGCUUGCUCCUCUGACGUUAGCGGCGGACGGGUGAGUAACACGUGGAUAACCUACCUAUAAGACUGGGAUAACUUCGGGAAACCGGAGCUAAUACCGGAUAAUAUAUUGAACCGCAUGGUUCAAUAGUGAAAGACGGUUUUGCUGUCACUUAUAGAUGGAUCCGCGCCGCAUUAGCUAGUUGGUAAGGUAACGGCUUACCAAGGCAACGAUGCGUAGCCGACCUGAGAGGGUGAUCGGCCACACUGGAACUGAGACACGGUCCAGACUCCUACGGGAGGCAGCAGUAGGGAAUCUUCCGCAAUGGGCGAAAGCCUGACGGAGCAACGCCGCGUGAGUGAUGAAGGUCUUCGGAUCGUAAAACUCUGUUAUUAGGGAAGAACAAAUGUGUAAGUAGCUAUGCACGUCUUGACGGUACCUAAUCAGAAAGCCACGGCUAACUACG
rnacentral:rRNA from 1 species